GACGAACGCUGGCGGCGUGCUUAACACAUGCAAGUCGAACGGUGAACUCCGCUUGCGGGGGGAUCAGUGGCGAACGGGUGAGUAACACGUGGGCAACCUGCCCUCAGCUCUGGGAUAACUCCAAGAAAUUGGGGCCAAUACCGGAUAUGACCGCUGUCCGCAUGGUCUGGGGGUGGAAGGAUUUAGCGGCUGGGGUUGGGCCUGCGGGUUACCAGCUUGUUGGUGGGGUAGUGGCUGACCAAGCGGGUGACGGGUCGCCGGCCUGGGAGGGGGACCGCGCACCAGAGGACUGAGGCACGGCGCAGAAGCCUACGUGACGCAGCAGGGGGGAGUAUUGCGCAGUGAGGGAGAGCCAGUCGCAGCGACGCCGGGUGGGGGAUGACGGCCUUCGGGUUGUAAACCUCUGUCAGCAUAGACGAAGCGAAAGUGACGGUACCUGCAGAAGAAGCACCGGCCAACUACGUG
rnacentral:rRNA from 1 species